AGAGUUUGAUCCUGGCUCAGAUUGAACGCUGGCGGUAUGCUUAACACAUGCAAGUCGAACGGAAACGAAACUAGCUUGCUAGUAGGCGUCGAGUGGCGGACGGGUGAGUAACGCGUAGGAAUCUGCCUGAUAGUGGGGGAUAGCCCGAAGAAAUUCGGAUUAAUACCGCAUAAUCUAUUCGUAGUAAAGUGGGGGACUUUCGAGCCUCACGCUAUCAGAUGAGCCUGCGUAAGAUUAGCUUGUUGGUAGGGUAAAAGCCUACCAAGGCAACGAUCUUUAGCUGGUCUGAGAGGAUGAUCAGCCACAUCGGGACUGAGACACGGCCCGAACUCCUACGGGAGGCAGCAGUGGGGAAUAUUGGACAAUGGGGGCAACCCUGAUCCAGCAAUACCGCGUGUGUGAAGAAGGCCUGAGGGUUGUAAAGCACUUUCAAUUGUGAAGAAAAGUUAACGGUUAAUAACCGUUGACCUUGACGUUAACUUUAGAAGAAGCACCGGCUAACUCCGUGCCAGCAGCCGCGGUAAUACGGAGGGUGCAAGCGUUAAUCGGAAUUACUGGGCGUAAAGCGUGCGUAGGCGGUUUAUUAAGUCAGAUGUGAAAGCCCCGGGCUUAACCUGGGAACUGCAUUUGAAACUGGUCAACUAGAGUAUGGUAGAGGAAAGUGGAAUUUCUGGUGUAGCGGUGAAAUGCGUAGAUAUCAGAAGGAACAUCAAUGGCGAAGGCAGCUUUCUGGAUCAAUACUGACGCUGAGGUACGAAAGCGUGGGUAGCAAACAGGAUUAGAUACCCUGGUAGUCCACGCCGUAAACGAUGAUAACUAGCCGUUGGGGGGAUUUACCCCUUAGUGGCGAAGCUAACGCGUUAAGUUAUCCGCCUGGGGAGUACGGCCGCAAGGCUAAAACUCAAAGGAAUUGACGGGGACCCGCACAAGCGGUGGAGCAUGUGGUUUAAUUCGAUGCAACGCGAAGAACCUUACCUGGUCUUGACAUCCUGCGAACUUUCUAGAAAUAGAUUGGUGCCUUCGGGAACGCAGUGACAGGUGCUGCAUGGCUGUCGUCAGCUCGUGUCGUGAGAUGUUGGGUUAAGUCCCGUAACGAGCGCAACCCCUAUCCUUAUUUGCCAGCACAUUAUGGUGGGAACUAUAAGGAGACUGCCGGUGAUAAACCGGAGGAAGGCGGGGACGACGUCAAGUCAUCAUGGCCCUUACGACCAGGGCUACACACGUGCUACAAUGGGAAGGACAAAGAGCCGCGAAGCCGCGAGGUGUAGCUAAUCUCAUAAAUCUUUUCGUAGUCCGGAUUGGAGUCUGCAACUCGACUCCAUGAAGUCGGAAUCGCUAGUAAUCGUAGAUCAGAAUGCUACGGUGAAUACGUUCCCGGGUCUUGUACACACCGCCCGUCAUACCAUGGGAGUGGGUUGCACCAGAAGUGGCUAGUCUAACUUUGUGAGGACGGUCACCACGGUGUGAUUCAUGACUGGGGUAAAGUCGUAACAAGGUAACC
rnacentral:rRNA from 1 species